AUUGAACGCUGGCGGCAUGCCUUACACAUGCCAGUCGAACGGUAACAGGUUAAGCUGACGAGUGGCGAACGGGUGAGUAAUGUAUCGGAACGUGCCCAGUCGUGGGGGAUAACUGCUCGAAAGAGCAGCUAAUACCGCAUACGACCUGAGGGUGAAAGCGGGUGAUCGCAAGACCUCGCGCGAUUGGAGCGGCCGAUAUCAGAUUAGGUAGUUGGUGAGGUAAAGGCUCACCAAGCCGACGAUCUGUAGCUGGUCUGAGAGGACGACCAGCCACACUGGGACUGAGACACGGCCCAGACUCCUACGGGAGGCAGCAGUGGGGAAUUUUGGACAAUGGGCGCAAGCCUGAUCCAGCCAUGCCGCGUGCGGGAAGAAGGCCUUCGGGUUGUAAACCGCUUUUGUCAGGGAAGAAAAGGUUCUGGCUAAUACCUGGGACUCAUGACGGUACCUGAAGAAUAAGCACCGGCUAACUACGUG
rnacentral:rRNA from 1 species